ACGAACGCUGGCGGCGUGCCUAAUACAUGCAAGUCGAGCGAAGUUUUUCCGGUGCUUGCACCGGAAAAACUUAGCGGCGAACGGGUGAGUAACACGUAAAGAACCUGCCUCAUAGACUGGGACAACUAUUGGAAACGAUAGCUAAUACCGGAUAAUAGCAUUAACUGCAUGGUUGAUGUUUAAAAGUUGGUUUUGCUAACACUAUGAGAUGGCUUUGCGGUGCAUUAGCUAGUUGGUGGGGUAAAGGCCUACCAAGGCGACGAUGCAUAGCCGACCUGAGAGGGUGAUCGGCCACACUGGGACUGAGACACGGCCCAGACUCCUACGGGAGGCAGCAGUAGGGAAUCUUCCGCAAUGGGCGAAAGCCUGACGGAGCAACGCCGCGUGAGUGAAGAAGGAUUUCGGUUCGUAAAGCUCUGUUGUUAGGGAAGAAUGAUUGUGUAGUAACUAUACACAGUAGAGACGGUACCUAACCAGAAAGCCACGGCUAACUACGUG
rnacentral:rRNA from 1 species